rnacentral:rRNA from 1 species
UACGUAGGUGACAAGCGUUGUCCGGAUUUACUGGGCGUAAAGAGCGCGCAGGCGGUCGAUCAAGUCGAGUGUGAAAGCCCCCGGCUCAACUGGGGAGGGUCAUUCGAUACUGAUCGACUCGAAGGCAGGAGAGGGUAGUGGAAUUCCCGGUGUAGUGGUGAAAUGCGUAGAUAUCGGGAGGAACACCAGUGGCGAAGGCGACUACCUGGCCUGUUCUUGACGCUGAGCGACGAAAGCUAGGGGAGCAAACGGGG